UAUAAACUAUGAAUUUCAUUAAAAUUAAGAGGGAAAAUAAGGGAGGAAACACUCAAACUACCCUGAAGAGCCAAACCUCCCCUGCACAAACAGACAUCGAACCAGAACUAUUCAUAACAAAGGCAACAAAAUCCUAAUUAAGAUCUAAGAUCAGCAGCAGCUCAAGAGCCAUAAGGAUGUUGAACAUGCUUUUAUUGCAUAAACAUUCAGGAUUCCAUCAUUCCUUUUCAUAAUUCUAAUAAUGAUUUCUUCAUAAUGAUACUAAUUUCCUAUUUUGAUUUUAUCCAGAAGAGACUUGCUAUCCAACCCCUUACUGUAAAAAUUAUCAAGGCACUCUUGCAUCGUGAAAUCUCGAUACAUGGCUGGUUUCUCAUUCGAUAUCAGCUCUGGUAAAGGCCCAUAGCAACCACUUUCUCUCCACCUGCUUAGAUUGAAAAAUUCUACUACUGAAAUUCUUGGUUUCUUACAUGAGUUUGCUACCACUCUAUGCUGCACACUUUUGUACUCCCCAUUUGACACUAUCUGAAGAAAGUCCCCAACAUUAAUGAUUAACCCACCACGCACGGGCUUCACCUCCACCCACCCAUCACCAUGCUUCACCUGCAGCCCACCAAUCUCAUCUUGUAGCAGCAAUGUCACCACCCCAGGAUCUGUAUGUGCCGUAAUCCCUACCGUCAGAUCCGGCUGCGGACAGUACGGAUAGCAGUGACCUACCAUGCACCUAGAAUCACUAAACGUAAGCUCCUUGAAUUUCCCUGCCUCUAGCCCUAAUCCUUCACUCAACAACUCCAUCACAACCUCACUCACUUUCUUAGCACACACAUCCCAUUCCAUCACCUCUUUUCUGCAUAUCUCCGGUAUCUCCUCGGUGUUCAACGGCACCGGAGCCAUCCACAUCUGCAAUGAGUCGUGCCAGCAAGCAGCCUCUGUACGGUACAAAUCAUUAUUACUAGCAUACAUGACACCACUUCCUUCUUUUCGAGUAUAGUACUUAGAUUUUACUUCAUGUGGUUGCUCAUGGAAGGAUUUGAUAGCUUUCAAGGUUGAGUCAAGAACCGAUUGAGAAAUACCAUGAUUGAUCACUUGAAAGAAACCCCAGUUGGUAGCAGCUUCCUUGACUUGGCUAAUGAUUUGUUCUCGGUGGUGGUUGGAGUAGAUGUUGGAUAGGUCGAUAAUGGGUAUGCUAGGAGAUGUAUGCGAUGAGUUUGGCUUGAGAUCAGCUAGAGUAUCUGGUGCGUGAAUGAAGAUUUUGGGAAUGGAAGUGAUGCCAGAAUCUGAGAGGCCCUUGACACCCAUCUUGGAUUCGUCGAAUUUUUUAACUUCUUCCAUUCGAUCGUAGUCUAAAGUAGGAGUUGCAGCGGCCAUUUUCUUUUGUUUUUAGAGUGAUGGAUGGACGAUGGAAGAUAUGUUGGUUUUGGGUUUUCAAUUACAACAAAGAUGUUAAGUGCUAUGUAUCUUCGUUAAGAAAAUGACCAGAAAGAAAGAUUGAGAAUCGUAAGCUGAGGAUUUUCUUUUUUUCUUUUAAGCAAUGGCGAAAGCCAACAGAGGUUAAAGUCCGAAGACGAACAGGUCAG
rnacentral:misc_RNA from 1 species